UAGGGAAUCUUCCGCAAUGGGCGAAAGCCUGACGGAGCAACGCCGCGUGAGUGAUGAAGGUCUUCGGAUCGUAAAACUCUGUUAUUAGGGAAGAACAAAUGUGUAAGUAACUAUGCACGUCUUGACGGUACCUAAUCAGAAAGCCACGGCUAACUACGUGCCAGCAGCCGCGGUAAUACGUAGGUGGCAAGCGUUAUCCGGAAUUAUUGGUCGUAAAGCGCGCGUAGGCGGUUUUUUAAGUCUGAUGUGAAAGCCCACGGCUCAACCGUGGAGGGUCAUUGGAAACUUGAAAACUUGAGUGCAGCAGAGGAAAGUGGAAUUCCAUGUGUAGCGGUGAAAUGCGCAGAGAUAUGGAGGAACACCAGUGGCGAAGGCGACUUUCUGGUCUGUAACUGACGCUGAUGUGCGAAAGCGUGGGGAUCAAACAGG
rnacentral:rRNA from 1 species